CAGCCGCCGCGGGAAUACGUAGGGUGCAAGCGUUAAUCGGAAUUACUGGGCGUAAAGCGUGCGCAGGCGGUUAUAUAAGACAGAUGUGAAAUCCCCGGGCUCAACCUGGGAACUGCAUUUGUGACUGUAUAGCUAGAGUACGGCAGAGGGGGAUGGAAUUCCGCGUGUAGCAGUGAAAUGCGUAGAUAUGCGGAGGAACACCGAUGGCGAAGGCAAUCCCCUGGGCCUGUACUGACGCUCAUGCACGAAAGCGUGGGGAGCAAACAGGAUUAGAGACCCCAGUAGUCCCUGUCUCUUAUAA
rnacentral:rRNA from 1 species